GAUGAACGCUAGCGGCAGGCUUAAUACAUGCAAGUCGAGGGGCAGCAUGAGUGUAGCAAUACAUUUGAUGGCGACCGGCAAACGGGUGCGGAACACGUACACAACCUUCCUAUAAGUAAAGAAUAGCCCAGAGAAAUUUGGAUUAAUACCCCGUAACAUAAUGAUGUGGCAUCACAUUAUUAUUAUAGCUUCGGCGCUUAUUGAUGGGUGUGCGGCUGAUUAGAUAGUUGGCGGGGUAACGGCCCACCAAGUCUACGAUCAGUAGCUGAUGUGAGAGCAUGAGCAGCCAGACGGGAACUGGGACACGGGCCCGACUCCUACGGGAGGCAGCAGUAAGGAAUAUUGGUCAAUGGACGCAAGUCUGAACCAGCCAUGCCGCGUGAAGGAUUAAGGUCCUCUGGAUUGUAAACUUCUUUUAUCUGGGACGAAAAAAGGCGAUUCUUCGUCACUUGACGGUACCAGAUGAAUAAGCACCGGCUAACUCCGUGCCAGCAGCCGCCGUAAAAC
rnacentral:rRNA from 1 species